GAUGAACGCUGGCGGCGUGCUUAACACAUGCAAGUCGAACGGUGAAGCAGGAGCUUGCUCCUGUGGAUCAGUGGCGAACGGGUGAGUAACACGUGAGCAAUCUGCCCUGGACUCUGGGAUAAGCGUUGGAAACGACGUCUAAUACCGGAUACGAGGCGCGGGGGCAUCCCCAGCGCCUGGAAAGAACUUCGGUCCAGGAUGAGCUCGGGGCCUAUCAGGUAGUUGGUGAGGUAACGGCUCACCAAGCCUACGACGGGUAGCCGGCCUGAGAGGGUGACCGGGCACACUGGGACUGAGACACGGCCCAGACUCCUACGGGAGGCAGCAGUGGGGAAUAUUGCACAAUGGGCGCAAGCGUGAUGCAGCAACGCCGCGUGAGGGACGACGGCCUUCGGGUUGUAAACCUCUUUUAGCAGGGAAGAAGCGAAAGUGACGGUACCUGCAGAAAAAGCACCGGCUAACUACGUGCCAGCCGCCGCGGUAAUAC
rnacentral:rRNA from 1 species